AAUAAAUUUGCUUAAGGGCUUUCUACGCACCCAUACAUGUAUUUUGUACGUUUUUUCCAACUUGAAUAAUAGCAUUUUGGUCCGAAUAAUUGAAGUCAAUUUUGAUUUUGGGUGUAAGCUUAGUUGCUAAUGAAUGCAGAUGAAAUUUAUUUAAAACAAUCUAAACACGCUACAUUUUUUUCUUACAAAAAUUAUUUUUUAUUAUUUUUAGUGAUUAAUUUAUCUUGGUAAAUAUUAUAAUUUUAUAAAAAUAGGGUAUAUAUAAAGAUAAAAAUUACAAUGUUUUUACCUUCAUCCUUGCCCUACAUUAUAUCAUAAUUUCAUGCCAAAUAAAAAAAAUUGGCAUGAUCUCUUCAGUUUUCCUUUAUUUUGGUCAAAUUAAUGGCAAAAAAUUAUUUUUUAAUUUUUAAAUUAUUAAUUUAUCUUGAAAAUAUUAUAAUUUUAUAAAAGUAAUAUAUUUAGAAAAUAAAAACUAUAGUCUUGGAGCUUGAUCCUUACCUUACAAUAUAUCAUAAUUUCAUGUCAAAAAAAAUGGCUUGAUUACCUCGGUUAUCCUUUAUUUUGGUCAGAUUAAUGAAAAAAAAAAUCAACUUAGCUGAAAGCUUCUCAAUGUUGAACUAACCAUGGUCAUUGAAAUCCCACAUCAUGAAGCUCUCCUUCCCUUCCUCUCUUUCUCUCGGUUAGUCAACUUAGCCUUCAGUUCUAGCCACUAGGGUGAUGCUGUGAUGGGCAUCACAACAGCCAUUGAUGCCUAAAAAUGACAUCGAGACAUUAGGUGUGGGACUCGGUUCCACUUUUCCUUGGAAAAAAAUAAUCAAUGCACAAGGCUGAGAGGAGGCUCGUCACAGUUUAACCAAGGACUCGGGCUUCAGGAGGCCAAAGCUAGAAGAGUCAGGGGGGAUCCAUCUCAUGAGACCCUUGAGCUUGAGGGAAGUAUCAUGGCUCCAGUAUAGAUUACCACUAAUAACACCAAGACCACUACAGGCUGGAGCGAGGGAUUCAGGUCCCACUCUUAUCCUAGGUCCUGCUUUCUCACAAGAACAAAUCAGGAUGGCCGGGACACCCCCCUAUCUGAUUUUUAAGUCAUUGCUUUCUUUAAAUUGUUCCGAUUUGCUCCUCCUAAUUUUUAAAAACCCUGAAUUCUCCGUGUUUAAAGCAGGAACUUCAUUAUAUCUCCAUUAUUUUUUGCUGUGGCUGCCAACUUCCUGCAUAUAGCAUCCUCUUGACCUUUAUUUACAUUUAUUUCAUUGCAUGGUUAGUUGUUCCAUCAUUAUUUAUAUAUUUUUUGUUUUUUUCUGGUGGUGUAGCGCAACUAUGAUGUGUCUCUCCCCCACAACAAGAUACCAGAUGCACUCUGUCUGCUUGCUAAAAAAAUGGCUGUACCUGCCAUGUCAUCAAGGGAAGAGUUUCAGCCAGAAGCUGCAAUAGUAAACUAUUUUGGUCCAAGUAUGCCAGUAAUAUAACUGAGAUCUUGUGCUUAUGCUAGCUGCUGUAAUCUGCAAGUACAGUAUAUAUUGGUAUCAAAAUGAAAAUAGCAUCAUCUAUGAGUUCGUGAACCAAAGGUCAUUUUUUUCUUCAAUUUGCAGGUGAUAUGCUUGGUGGUCACCUUGAUGACAUGGAAGCAGAUUGGAGUAAGCCUAUAGUGAGCAUAAGGUGUUGCCAUUUUUAAUUUGCUCAUGCUAAUAAGCUUUUAAUACCAUGCUCCAAGAAUAGCUUAUUUGUAUACCUUCUUUUGUAGCCUGGGCUGCAAAGCUAUCUUUCUCCUGGGAGGAAAAUCUAGAGAGGAUAACCCAAUAGCCAUGUUCCUGCGCAGUGGCGACAUUGUGCUUAUGGCUGGGCAAGCAAGGGAAUGCUUCCACGGUCAGUUGGUGUUUCAUUCAAACUAUUGUUUCAUUUUUGUUUACUUCUCUUUCUUUGAAUUAUUAUGAAAGUCUUGUUAUUUCAAAUUGUGCAGCCUCAGGACUUGGAUAAACUCUCUAGCAGUAUAUUAGCUUUGAGUAAUGUUUUUAUAAAAAUGAAAUCAUGAAGUUUGCAAUUGAUUGUGUUAGUCACUUGGCCAAUCUGUCCUGCCAAAUAAAGAUGUGUGGCAAGAACCAUGCUAAAGCUAAGAGACUACUGUUUGUGAUAGUUAAAUGGAUAGUUCUUGUCCUUUUCUAUUUACUUCAACAUGUUGUUGAAGUUUGUGAACCAUCUUGUGCUAUUUUCUGAUGAUAUGAGAAAAAUUUCACACCAAUUCAUAUAAACGUUAUUUAGCAUAGUACAUGCCUUUAACAAGAUAUAGGCCCAUUGUGAUUUUUUCUCCAUACUGAGAGAGACAAUUGAAGUGCAUCUCACAAAAUUGAAGUGUAUGUAUUACUCCUCGCUACCAAGUCCUGAAACUGAGGGAAAAAUUGGACCUGAGAGAAGAGGCAGCACUCCUGGAUGGAUGUGGAGUUGCAGAGAAUUGUGCCAAAUUGAAAUGUGUAUAAAAGUUCUCGUUCCCAAAUCAUUAGGCUGAAAACAAAUUUGGAAAACAAAGGGAGAAGCAGAAAACCUGGAUGAACUUGGAUUACACUGUAUAUUAUAUUUACUAGUAGCUGAAGCUAAAAAGAUUGUUUUCUCUGUUGUCUCUUCUCUUGCAUUCAUCUCACACUGUAGUUAAUUAAUAGCAAAAAAAUUAAGAAGAUUGUUUUCUCGGUCGGCUCAUAUCUUGCAAUAAUCUAUCACUGUAGUUUGUAUUUAAUAGUAGAAAAAAUUAAUUAGAUUGUUUUCUCGGUUGUCCCCCAUCUUGCAUUGGUUUCACAGAUUUAAUGAACCUUCAAACUGCAAUGACUUCUCCUAGAAAUGAAAAUUUCAAAAAUUCCAUCACUGAUAGAUAUGUUCUUUUAACAGCAUAUGGUUGUUUGACAUUUUCAUGGCCACAGUUCUUGUUGGCCAAUAGAAAUGUAAAGGUGGUAGAACCCUCAUAUAUUGCACCUUGUGCUGCAUACCUGCAGCAGCCGCGGUCUGAACAUCAUGACUUGUCUUGGGAGUGGAUUCCAGAACUCACUGCAUUCCAGGAACUGGCUCAGGCAUAGAGAGAACCCAUGUUGUCUCUUUAGAAUAUGCUUGUCCGAUUGCUAGUUUUAUGCUGGUGUUUGUGGUAUUUUUCCUGCAAUGCUGGAUUUCAUUCUUAAAAAGAUUAUAAGGCAGGGAAUCUCUAAAAGGAAAGGAGACUAGUAUUCCCUCAGGCCCCAAUCAUAACUGUAUUGCUUUCUGUUGAACAACUAAGAAAUGUAUCUCAAUAACCAACCCUAUUUUUGUGUCUCUUUUCUAAGCUGUGGUAGGCUUUGAUGCAAACUAUGACAGAAUAAAAUUGUAAACAUAAAUUCGAAGAGGCUAUGGACCACAUUACUAAGCGCUGCUUUAAUUCAUUAUUAUUUUUCACUCAUGUAAUAAACUACCUCCUUGGCUUCUGUUUUGGCAGGAGUACCACGAAUCUUCACAGGUGAUGAACAUGCAGAUGUUGCUACUCUCUUGUCACAUUUUUCUGACAAAGAUAACUGCUGCUUCAUGGAUUACAUCAGAUAUUCAAGAAUAAAUAUCAACAUCAGACAGGUCAAUUAGAUUCAGUUAUUGUGAUUCCUACAUUAGAACAUUCAACUAUUUCCAUCAUUAGGCAAUAUACCAAUUUGAGUGUUAGAUAGAGUUGUUUAACUUCUUCUUGAAAAUGGGAAGAAGAAAGUGGUGAAGAAAUUGGGAUAGGAGAGAAGAGAAUAUUUGUCCUUUUUACGACUUGCCCAUGCCUUUCAAUUUGGGGAUAUGAACUUGGAACAGUUAAUUGGGAGAAUAAUGAGAUCAUGAUCAUUAACCAGGAAACAAGAAAAGAGCCUGGGGCAGAAAUCUUGUAAGAGUUGUACUAUGGCCGAAACCGUUGCCGACAAGCCUGGCAGGUGAUCUCCAUGCAAGUGGAAUUGAUCCUUCUGGUGGCCACCUCCUUCAUCCUCUCCACCUUCUCCACCUCCUCUCGGGCUCGCUCCCACACCAGCCUAGCUCGUGUGAACUCUUUCUCUGCCAGCUCCAGCUCUCUUCUUGUCAGCUCCCUCACUCGCUCAGCGUAAGCCUCGUCUACAGCAGCAAGUCGGAUCUGUUCUGCAGUUUGUUGCUUCAGUGCUUGCGCGUCUCUCAUGUUGCUCUUAGCCUCCUCAUUUGAGGGCGGUCUCCGUGGUCCAACGCACAUCGAUAGGCUUAGGUCAAGCGGUGGAUGAUCAGAAGGGUCGGUUAUCACUGGAAACUUCGAUGCCUCGCAGGGAACAUGAGCCGAGGAGGGUGCAGGGAGUAGUAGCUUUAGUUCUCUCACAUCAUCUUCUUCCAUGGAAGGAGACUUACAGGGGAAUAUUGAACAAAGAUGGUGAGUGGCUGCAAGGGUUGGUGACGUUUAGUCUUUAUAUAACUGUUUUCCUGAUUAGCUAAUUUACCAGCAUGCCCAUGCUAUCAGGGGGUGUCCUUUGCACCUUAAAAAUCUAGCUACUCUUUGUUCUUGUGAUAGAGUCUCUGUCAAUUUUGUGCACUUACAAGUUACAAUGCAUGUGGGUUUCAAUUCUUCCAUUUGGUCGAGUAGACCGGUCGAUUCAAAUAUUUUUUGACCAAGAGCUCCUAUCAGCCCUCUGUUCUCUCAUCCCUUUUUUUUUCUGAAAUAUAUUUCAGCUUAAUCCAAUUACACAUUUCUUCUUGUGGGGUGUUUAAACUUGGCCCCAGGAUGUGGUUGGUUCAUUCUGGCUUGGAUAGGACUAGUCCAUUUUGAAUCCCUCGCUGAUUAGAUCUAUUGGCAGCGAGGGCAGGCUCCCUUUUCUUGCUGCCUUUGUUUCCACGUUCCUAGCUUGGGCCUUUUUGGGUUGGCAAAUGGUAGAGGGUGCAAUAAUUGCAAUGGCACUUGUGUGAGUUGGUGUUGUUUCAUAGGAGUCUCCUCUGUCGGUAGGCCUAGGUUGUCGGCCCCGUACAGAUAAACCUAACAUUUUAGUUUGGUGGGAUCAACUACUUUGAAUCCCUUUUUUUUUUUACCAAUAGCCAAUCUAUGGCACUCUUCGAGACAGAUCUGUGGUACUGUUUGUCAUGGAAUCUUUUUGGGUUUCAGAAGUAAUAUCCCAAAGAGAGGAACAAGUCUAUUUCUACAAGAUGUUCAUCCUUGAUCAAUUUCUCAAAAUUGGUGUUUGUUUGAACCAAGAUACAUAUUUUAGAAUGUAUUCAAUUCAGUCUGUCCAUUUAGUAUCAAAUAUUUGGUACUUGUCGGAAUAGAUUCCUAGAUAUAUCGCAUUUGCAUCAUGCAUUUGUUUUGCAAUGCUUUGGCAAGCUCUAAACUAAUUGUUUGCAUUAAUUUUUUUCACAAUGGAUUAAAGUUUAUAUCUAACACUAAUCAGGACAUCGCAUAUCAGUCGGUCCCAUCCUCUUUUUUCAGAGUUUUGAGGUUGGAGUCCUUGAUGUGGAUAACUCAUUGAGUUGGCAAAGGAUGCAGGUUUGGCGUGGUUUUGUGCCAAUAUGUUCAGCGUUGCUGCCCAUCUAUCACUUUCAUAUAUAACCCUUUAAACUUGGAGGUAAAAUAAAUUAUAUGUGGUCCCACUAAUAUUAGAUGCAUUUUUUGAAUAUCUACAGUAGAUUUUCACUAGUAUACAAGCAUUCCUAAAUUUUUGUUCUAUGUGGUGUUACCAUAAAUUAUCUUCUCCUGAAACCUAUGUUAGAUGAUGGAUGUACCAUAAACCAAAAGCAAUUAAAGUCAGGUUAAAUAUUAUCUUCUUUUUUUCUUUUUUUUUUCUUUUUUUUUUGUAGAGAGAGAGAGAGGAGGGAGUGGNNNNNNNNNNNNNNNNNNNNGGCGAACCACACCUAAGUUAAAGGGAAGUUCAAGUAUUAUUUUAUCAUUCACAUAAAAUAUCUUUUUCUUGAUCCAUCUCAUAGUGGACAGGAGAUCAAUAAGUCUAAACAAAUCCCAACAGUCCUCAGCAGAAGCAGGCUUUCAGAGGAGUACUGUAAAGGAGACUGAAGAUAGUGAUUGGCCUGAGCACUGAAAUCAAGACUCCCAAUCACAGCUCGAGUUUGUCCACAAGAGCAUUAACUUAGUGCAAAAAACCAUGUGAGGUGACCCUAAUCACCACUGCUUUGCAAAACAAUCUGCUACCAUGAAAUCAUCACGUCACAUCUACAAGAGAAAAGCUGCCAUGUUUCCCUACCUGCCCCCUGGCAUCUCCUUGCCUGCAUCCAAUAUCUUCAUAGGUUGGUGGCUGGUUAAUUUUUUUCAUUGGAAAUCCUUUUGGAUCCAAGGAGACACAAAGCAUGUGUGAAGAGAGGUGUUCCACCAUUUAGCUCAGCUUUUGGCUGAUGCUCUCGGCCACAAACCACAAGUCCUGUGCCUGUGAUGUGAAUGGGGUGGAUAACUUGCACUCUCUUUAGACACUGAUUUAUAUAUCAUUGUCUCCCACCAUUGCAGAGGAGCACCCACCAGAGAUCUUUGGUCCCCAUCAGCUUAGCCUUAAAAGUGAAGGCCUGGUCAUGCUUCAGCCCUGCAAGAACCUGUUAGCUAAAACAGCAGUACACGACCAUUUGGUAUACGUGUGAUACGACAGUCUUGAUCGAUAACCCACUGUUGAUCAAACAUCUUGCUCGACGACGAUGCAUCAGUGGCUAGUCAAUAGGGCUGAUUGGCUGGCUGCAUCCAUCUGAUCAUGGAUCACAUUUAGGUUUUGUGUCAUCAUGGAGACUGCUGACUGAUAUAAGUGGGGUUGCAUGGUGGGAUUCCUGGUGGACCACUGCUAUAUUACUGUGGUCCUGAGACAGGACUCAUGUCUUCAGCCAAACUCAGGAAGAGAGGGCUUUCCUUGAUGGAUUUGAUGUGCUACCAACCCUUAAGUAUAGAUUUAAUUAUGGAGGUGGAGUGAAUGAUUCCUUUGCUCAUGAGACCCAUGGGUUCCUGAUGGAUGAACUGUCAACCACAUGAUCAACAUGUCGUAUACUAGAGUGUUGCCAUGGAGACAGAAGCAGUGGUCCUUGCAAUCUGGAUCUAUGCACCCUUUUCUUCUCUCUUUUUUUUUUCCGAGAAAAAUGGUAUUCAAUAUGUACUGCACUUGGACACAACCUCGAUGACAAAUGGGGCUGGACCAGCAUUACAUCCAUGGUAAAAGAUAACUUCUUGGCUUGGGUUUAACCUUGGCAUAGGAAAAUCAUAAGAGUUGAAAGGAAUUUCGUGUGCUUCGAUUUAUAUGUUAGAUUACUGAAUCAAAUUUAUAACAUAAUUUCUACCAUAAAUGUGGAGGACAUCAAAUGAAGAAAACCAAUAAAUGUUCUCACAGUUACAUCACCAUAAUUUAUUAUAAUAUGAUAUGAGAAUUAAAAAAGUUGAUUCUAUUCGAGAUAUAUGUCUGCAGUGAAAAUAAUAUUUGGUAGAUACUAAGUAAAAAAAAUUACAGAUUUUUUUUCUCAAGAUUUAAUCACUUCUUUAAGAGCCAUGAAAAAUUAGCAAAUUUGUGAAAAAAAUUCAGAGAGAUACGUUACAUCAUCAUCCUCCCAUGCUUUUAGGGUGAGUGGGUGGGUGGUCUUAGUGUCUAUAGCAGUGCCCUACUGCAAAAAACAUGCAUGAUCCAGCCAAAUCUCCCAACAAAGAUCUCUGAUGGCGAGCCAUAUAAUGACCCAUGACCAGUAACAAUGACCUUUUUCAUUUUCUUGAAAGCCAAAAUUGGAUAACUAUCCCCAAUUGUUUUGCAUCAUCUAUAACCUUGAUGACAAUUGUUGUAUCCUAUACAAGUUAAGCCACUAAGCAUCGCUAACGCAGUCAGAUGCGCUGGCCAAUGUUUCUCAGUACAACCAACUUAAUUAACAUUCAAAAUAAUAAAAAAAUUAUCAGAAUGAAGCAGCUAAAUAAUCAUACCUCACAACCAUCCAAUCAAAGCAUGCGGUCAAAACUUAAAUAACCAAACAACUGAAUCUGGACAAGAAUCAAGAAUACAGGGGUAAGCUUUAGUCCAUGGCUCACCUAAAAGACAAGAGUAUACAAUGCGGUAAAAGAUUACAGCUAUGGAGAUAAAAAAACAUAUGUAUUUGAAUCACCAAACCGUUGAUUCUUCACACUAACAGCUACAAAAGGCCGAAGAGUAAAGACAAAAGAAACUGGAAGAAGCACGACCCCGAUGUCUUGGCAGAGGAUGAGGUAAUUCUACUAACCACCUCUUGAAUUUGAUCUGGUGCAAGAACUGCAGCACUACUAUCAAAAUUAGCACUCUCCAACUGUUUGUGCAGCUGCAUCAGGACAGAAUUGAAAGAAUCCAUCACUAAAGUCAAGCUUGUCUAAGGUACCAUAACGCAGGAGACAAGUGAGAAACAGGACCAAGCAAACAGAAGAUAUGUCCUACCUACCUUCACAAAUGGACCCAUCUUUAAAUUUCAAAUGCAGCAAUGUAAAACCCUGGGCAUAGGUCCACUCAAACCUCACAUUGCACGCUUGCACAUUCACGUGACGUGCGCGUGCGCACACAGAAGAGAGAGAGAGAGAGAGGAACAUACUUUUUCAAGGAUUGCAGAUUGCUCGUCUGGAUUAUACUUCCGGAUCUGCUUUAACAUCUCCAAUUGCUGCAAUGUGUUCAUUUACAACUGGAGUCAUUUCUUAAUUACAGAUCUUAGAUGACAGAACUGAUAUAUAAUCUACCUGCUCUUGCAGUUUUUGCUGAGUGAGCAUUUUUUCUGCAAACUCACUUGGCUCAAGCUCAGCCUCAUCAAUGGCCAUCUCUUCCCUGUUAUUAUUGACAUCAGAAUCUAUGAUGGUAUGCUUUCAGUUUAUAAUCACAUGCUUGCUUGGGUAAAAUAUGUAAGUCCAAAUAUGAUGGAUUGAUCAUGGAAUCAAAAUGGAAUCAAAUAUGCAACAACAAAUAGACGGGAUAAGGUCAGUAUUCUGGUUACAAGAACGUUCUAGUGCAGAAAAAACCUUGUGGCAAUUGCUUCGGAGAAGCUUAAGAGCAGCAAGGUCGUUCCUGUUUUCAUUUAUUCCAAUUGACACCAACUUCCAAUCUCAGAAAUAAUAUGAGUGUGCUUGGUUCUUAAGUGAAAUUUAAUUAGCAUUCUUGUAGACCAACAUGACAUCAUUGGAGACCCACAUUGCCCUCAUCUCCUACCUCCUCUCAUUCCAGAUAUCUGCUCAAGAUUGGAUUACCACACUCGAGUGGGCAUUCGAGGCAGUGGAGAUGCAGCAGAAUUCUGGGCCUAUUAGUUGGGCUAGGCUGAGCUGUUCAGCCCACUCGGACUUGGUUAGGUCUUGGCCCAUCUAGGCUAUGGGCCGAUCUCAGGUUCAGGCUUGGGUUGGGUCAGGCCAAAGUUUAGAAAAAAAUUUUGGGCCUAGGACUGGCCAGAAGCCCAAAAAUUUCUUUGGGCUGAAGCAGGCUAUAGGCAUACCAAACCCAGCUUGACCAGUACUACCUCUACUUAUUCUACUAUCAGAAAAGGAAACUGGAAAAAAUAUGCUCUCGUAUAAUAUUAUACAUAAUGUCAAAGGAUAGGGUAAACAUUACACAAGAAUGCAGAAUUGGACAAAUUGAGAAUAAAGUGAUGAAAGCUGAUGCAGCUGGCAUAAGUAAUGUGCAGAAAAGAUCUCAGACCUCAAUGAGAGAGGUACUUGGAUUUAUGCCAAAAUGUCGGAAAUAAGGAAAACAUAGGACAACAUGGGAAAGUGAGCCUUGAUGCAAUGGUAAGGCUGCUCUAUUGAGACCAGAAGAUCAAGAGUUUGAAAUACGGAAAUAGCAUCUCGGCACAUGGGGCAAGGCAGCAUACAUCUGACCCUCCCCAAACCCUGCAAUAGCGGGAGCCUUGUUCACUAAGCCCCCCCUUUUUGUAGGACAACAUGAAUGGAAGUUGUGGAAAAGAUUUUGAAAAAUUUUAUACUAAAGCUAAAUGUGAUUUAUAAUUAGAAUGAUUGGUGAUGGAUUUGUUAGAUGGCACCAAGUAGUUGGGACAAGAUCAACACUUAUAAUUGUGGUAUUUUAGUAUAUCUAUAGUGUUGCCACUAGCCAGCAAACAACCUUAUGUACAUAUCCAUAACCAAACAGUUAUUUCUUGCUUCUUUUCCCUCUCUGGCUCUCUUACUUUUUUUACAGUUGUUUCAAGUAAAGGUUCCAUAUUAAAUUUCGUUAUCCAACAUUUGGAAGCUACAUGUAAUAUCUUUAAAUUAAAUGAGAAGCAUUCAUCCCUUUGUUAUAAUAGUGUAUUUGUAUAGUCAGUUAUCUUACAAUUAAAACAAGAAAUUAAAAAAAAAUGAUAUAAUAGUAACAUAUUAUGAGAUAGCUGUUAAGAUUUGCCACUUGCAAAAAACAAACUGGGUUCCUCUUCAUGACGGAUAGGUCUCCAAUCAAAGUACGCGGAACGGACCGAAGCGACGUACCGGUGAAGAUCGAUACCGGUUCGGUACCGAUUCGGAACCGGUUCUGAAAAAAAAAACGCGCGGACGCGCGCGUCCACGUUAUGCUGCAGAGUGGCAUUUAAUGCCACUUUGCCGCAUUAAAACCGGCCACGUGGGGCAGCGUGGGGGCUCGCUGCCCUGCACGGCGAGCUCGCGCAGGGAAUCACGCACGCAUGGACCGCGAUUCCCACCACGUGGAACGCGCACGAGCAUGAGUCGGGGGACGCGUUUCUCCACUCGCGCCCGCGUCCCCACGCGCAGGCGCGCUCCCCACGGCCUCUCUCUCUUUUUUCUUUCUUUUUUUCCUCCUCUUCUUCUUCCCGAGCUCCUCCUCUCUUCUUCCCUCUCUCCUCCUCUCUUCUCCUCUCUUUCCCCCUUCUCCUGCGAGCAAUGGAGCUCUUCUUCCCCGCGAGGUGCUCCGGAGGAAGAAAGAGGCCCGGUAGCGCAAGAGGUCUUCUUCCCCUCUCUCCUCCUCUCUUCUCCUCUCUUCCCUCCUUCCCCGCGAGUACCGAUGCAAACCGGUGCAGUCCGCACAGGUACGGGCAAGGAACCGUUCGGUUCCGAAUUCCACCGCUGUACCGUACCGGUGAAGGCCGGUACCGGUACGGUACAGGCUGAACCAGUCGGUUCCAACUGGUUCAGCAGACCAUGUCUCAAACACUAGUUUUUGAAGUGAUUGAACCAAAAAAUUUACUGGAUUAUGACAGGUAGGGUAGCUGCAGUUGGAAGAAGAUGCUAAAGUCAGAGCUUAAUAGCAGGACACUUCUAUUUAGAGUGUUGUACCUGCUUGAGAAUCUAUCACGAAACUUGUCCCCGAGACUCGUUCUCACGUUCACUAAAAGUCAUUUUAUAUUCUAGAUUUUUGAGAGUGAGUGAGAGAGAGAUUUGCUUCCCCAUACAUACACAAAUAUGUUCCUGCAACCAAAUAUCGUUAACCAAACAAUGAAGGGCAGAGAAAUGGUAAUUGGGUUGAAGAUGUGAAAAAGAUUUUUCCACUGUAUGAGGGGUGGCUCUGCCUGGACUUAUUUGUUUAGCCCAAGCCCAGCCCAAAAAAGUAAUUUGGCCUUAAGUUUCAGGCCCAAACUGACCAGACAGGCCAAAAACCCUUGCAUAGGCCCGUCUAAAAUUGGGCAAGCAGGUCAGACCAUGUGGACCGCUCCAGAUAUGCUUAGGUCUAAUCUAAAAUGGCAUUUCCAGGUGUUUCUCUGAAAAAAUAAUUUGUUUUGACUUUGCGUGGUGCAGAAAAAGCAUAAGCAUUAAGAAACAUAAUUGCAGCAUCUUGUCCAUCAAAUACAAAUUUCCAUGGGAGCUGGUCUCUCAUAAGAUAAGUAACCCAUGCAUUUCCUAAAGAUCUUGUUUUCCUGAAGUACUUAUCUCAUAACUUGCUUUCAGAUUUGUUUGCCACUUUAGCAAAUAUGAUUUUUCCCAUGUGCUGAUAGAUUUUAAUUUUACCCAUCUUCUUACCCAUCUUGCAUGUGACACUUCCAAUUGCCAACCAAUUUGGAUUUGAACAGAAGUAAUCUCGGUAUCUCUUUCUAAAAUUUCAUAUGGUGCAGGAUAAUCAUAGUUUAGUUUGAAUUUUUGUUAGGGGAUCCAUAGUUUUGCUCCUACUAUGAUGAACUGCAUCUUUUGGUUUAGUAUGCUAAUAAAUCUCAUACUCCCAGGAUUCGUAUAGUCCCCAUAAAACAAAGAGAUGAAAUAAUAAUUAAUACCAAGUCAAAAAAGAUUCAAUCCUACUAUCCAAUAUAAUCAAGAAGAAAUAAUUAUGGUUACCCAAAAGUUAAUCUUAAUUUGGCAUUUUAUAUAUCUACGUGCUGACUUUCGGUUUUAGAGACAAUGCAUUACUUAUAAAACUUGAUUACCUAUAAGGCGACAACUUCUCAAAAUAUUACAAGAUGAUAUAGCAUGCUUAAGCAUUCAAACUUUAUCAUACAAGAAAAAGUUCUCUACUAUAAUAACUUCAAAUGCAAAAAAAAAAAGCAUAAUCCGUUUAGGCCAUAAGGUUUUUUUUAGAUUUUAACAAGUUCUUGCAUACAACCUUAAUAAGUUAUUCUCGAUGAAACAAAAUUUCAAAUAGGCUAAUAAUAUCUCCCAAAUCACACAAAUCUUGAGUACAUACUGAGAAAUCUCCAAUAUCAUUGGAUAUAAUAUUCCAUAUUUUGUUUCCCCAAAACAAUUAAAUUCUCUUUUAUUCAACAGAGAGUGGCUACUGGUCACCAUCAAAUCUGAUCUGGCAUUCACAAACCACAUCAAGAUUUAGGUUACUUGGUCCGAUGUAGAAUGGGAUGGCCAUUUGCAUAUAUAAGAAAACACAAAUCAGACUUUAAAGAGCCAACCUUAAAUGCAUGGAAUAAGGUAUAAGGUUUCUGGUUAUUCUUCGAGCAAAUAAUAGAUUAAACUAUUGAAUAUUUAUCUAUUUUUUCAUUAAAUUAUCUAUGCAUGAAUAGAUUAUGUUAAUAGUUACUUAUGUGAAAUUUAUCUUAUCUUAAUGAUUCUCUAGGAUUAGAGAAAAACAUUUAUUUUCAUAUCCAUAUCCUUUGACUUUCCACUAGCAAAUUCAUCUUCUAUUAGAUUGUAUAAAAUUCUAGACUCUUAAGUCUUACCACUAAAUAAGGAAAAUAGCAGGCAAGGAAUAACCAUUUUUUCAGUACCUCCAGGUAAAAGAAUUUCUAUCAUAAUAGUUAAUAGAAGUUUACUCAGUUUACUCAUUUCUUCCUUUUCCUUUUGCAUUUUUCCCUACUUAUAUUAACAACUUCAGCAAGAAAAAUGACUAGUUGAAAAAAAAAAACUCUUUUCUAAAUUACUUUAAUACAACAACAUGUGGAAUAACAAAAUAUAUAAUAAGAGAAAAUGGUCUUAAUUGCAAGUCCAAGGUCCAGGUUAGGGAAACACACUUACUUUGCAACAAACCGGUAAAACUGGAUCAUCAAUUCCAUGUCAUUCUCAUAAACUGUGUUUACCUUUCCCAAGCAAGCAAUCCCAUAUCUUGGAUCUGCAGCAGGUUAAAAUGGUAAAACUUAUGACCUUGUGUCAAAUAAGACAUUACCAACAAAGAUAGGGUGGGGGAAGGAAAGAGGAGGGAGGGAAAUAGAGUCACCUAAAGUAAAAGAUAUACCUCACGAUAAAGGAUAAAAAGUGUGUGCUUUCUUUUCAUGUGUUACAUGAGUUCGACAGCUGAAUACAAAAAGAUGAUAUAGACCCUUCAUCUACUACAGCAAUGAUGAAUAAGUACCAAGAGCUAGAAAGUGUGCAACUGUGCAUUAUUCCAUGACACUACCGACUAGGGAAGCAAGAAAAAAAAUUGGAUUUACAACAUUAAUAAGCCACUAGUUCUUUUAACGCAUGUAAAACUCUGGCGUAUCCACAUACAUGAAAGGUAAAUACAGGCAUAUCAAUCAUCCAUACCUCAUAGAACUAAUCUUGGAAUAAAAAUGUGCCAAUAGAUGCUAAAUAUUAAGAAGUAUGUGACAGAAUAAAUCUGUGAGGACAUGUCAGAACCCCAUCCAUAUGUGCUGGCAUUUUUGCAGCAUGGCCAAGCAAUGAUUGUAAAUGAAUAGUAGGACUCAACAUAUUAAUAAUUGAUCUCCAAUAUAUCCUACAUGCUCAUGAAAGGUUAGAUUGUCUACUGCUUGGAUAAUAGUCCAUGUAUCACAAUUAGACCUAUUCAUGAGCCGAGCAGCCUGACCACCUACUCAAGUGCAAGGCUUUUCAGAUGAGCCUGAGCCUAGAUUUUGAGCCCAAUAGGCCGAGCCAAGCUUGAAAGAGAUAGUCUAUUAAACAGACUAGACUUGGGUUUAGGUAUUGAAGCCUGACCCGACCCGCAUUAUAAAUAAUAUGUUAAUCCUAGGGCAGAUUUGCCACCUCUUUUAAUUCCUGGAUUAAGAGGAGUCCUGUUCUCCUCUCCUCUUUGAUCGUCCUCUUCUUUCUUUUCCAGUAACCACCAAUGGCCACUUCUCUCUUCUUCUUCUUCUUCCAUCGAAGUCGUCGCAGCCACCCAUCUCUGGUCGAUUAUGGCCGUCUUUGAUGGUGCUUCACUUGUGUCAUUGUAGCGAGGGCCAUGCUGGCAUACACCGACCAUUGGAAUAGUCACAAUAGGGACUUCUCGUAUAUUCAAUAACUUUCCCUACUACAAAGAGGAUGUACAAGGGAGGGUAAUAUAGACCGCUACAGCACUAGAUAGCCCAGAAUAAGAAUUUGAGAGCAACAGAGGAGGGGCUUGGAUUACCUUAAGAGGAAGGUAUGGCAGUUGCGGAGCUCUUUUGGGAUUGAGGGUGGUUGGUGAGUUUGGGCUAGUUUGAGGGGAUGGAUAUGAGAUAGAAAUAGAGGAGUGCCAAGGGAAGGAGGGCAUAGAGAACCCAAGGUAUGAGCUUCUUGGUGAGGAAAGUGGUGGGUUGGUGAUGGUGGUAGGUAGUCCCCAUCCAUGUUUUGUUGUGGCAGUUUGGAUUAUGAGAUGGUGGGAGAAGCUAGGGGAUGGGAAUGGGAGGUGGGGUUGAGAAGGAGGGCAAAGAUGGACCCUUUCUGAUUUCUCCCUCUUUCCUCCCACAUCCACCCAAAACCCUCUCUCUCUUCCACCAUUGUUGAGAUGGAUGAUGGUGAAAUCUAUAAAUUUGACAAGCAUUGGCUACUAAGCCCCAUAUUUAGCGGUUGAACGAGCAUCCAUAUUACAGUGCUAGAUAGCAUCAUCAACACAAACUCCUUCACCCUAGCCGUCUUUGUAGGCCCGGACUUCGACCCCUCCAUAGUAGUCUCGCCUUCGACGACUGCACCACCAGGAAUUAGAUGGCGGAGGAUCGGGUCUCCUUCUAUGUCUUCACCUUCGCCUCCUUCCUCUGCUCCUGCCUCAUCGCCUUCUGCCUUAAGCUUUUUUCCAAAUUAAAAAAAGAAAUUAAGGAAGUCCAAGAGUUGGCCCAAACCUGAAGUUCGAGUAAAUGUUGGGCUUAAGCAUGGGAAGUAGGACUGAAGGCUGAGCUAGGUCAGGCCCAAGCCUGACUAAUUUUAGUUAUACCUUGGCUUGAGCCAGGUCUAGCCCCACCCUAUGAAUAGGGCUAAUCACCAUAAUAAGGAGCAAUAAUGAAGCCCAUCUUAGGAAGAUGGAAAAGAAGCUAGACAAAACUUCCAUAGAUAUAUGAGCCAUCAAAGAAUGCAAAUCUUAGAUGCUAAAAAUGGAAAAACAAUUAAUAUUUCUUAUAUUCACAAAAUAAUGUUGAAGCAAAAGCCAGUUGUUGAAAUCAAUAUGUUAGAUCACCUGCACAAUUAGCACCACUCAAGAUUCAAUCUCUUGUAUGGGGGCAAAUAAAGAAGCAAGAGAGAUGGGAGUUCAAGCAUAUUGCAAAAUGCUUAAGAGAUGGGGGAAAAAGAAAGAAGUAUGAGUGGUAGGAGUUAGACUGCUAGAGGGGAUUGAAAAAUGCUUAAAAGAGUGAAGUAGAAAAAUUUAUCAAUGAUGGCUGACUAGGCAUUCUUCCUUAGGCACUUAGGCAACCCAAUUACCUACAUGUCUCAUGCUUUCCCAGGUUUCAAGUAGAACAAACAUCUAAAUGCUUGGGCUAGUUUAAAUGUAAUCCUCUGAUGUUUUUUUAAAAGAGCUAAAUAAGUAGGAAGUAAGGCAUACCCUAAAAAUCAUUUGGCAUAUUUAAUACAUUAUUUUGAGAUAUCUCAUGGGUAUCUCUCCUAAACAGUCAUAACCAAUAAAAGAGUUGUUCGCAUGUGGGCCCUUGAGCCAAAGAAAAGCCCGCUGGUGUCACUAUUAGACAGAAUGACCAAGUGGACAAUUGUGUAUUCAAUAGGGAGAACUGGAUCAUUUUGGACACUUAGAAAUUAUUCACAGCUAUGCGUGAGGUAGGACAUCACGCUCAUAUGACUGUCUUUGUGUACAAUAUCAUUAACAGAUUAGAGUCACUAUUUUUCUCAUAAUCGUUAGAGUAGAUGACUUUGCAUUGGCACAAUGGGUCUAUUUCAUACUAAACGGCCAAUGAUACAAGACCACCUCUUGGAAAUCACUAUCAAGAUUGGAGAUGUUGAUCUUGUUUGAACAACAUGCAAAUGAUCCCGUGACCUAAGGGCACGAUUACCCACUAUGAUUUUGGUUCAAUAAAUUUAGGGCCAAACCCGUGUAUUGGCAAUGACACGCUAGAUUCUAUCCUCGAUAAGGAGCAUAUAGAUUCAUUGUGCUUUGUCAAGAUUGGGGAAAAGAAAAGUUCCAACAAGGAAUCACUUAUGACAUUUUAUCGAUAUCAGAACAAAGAGACAUCAAACACAGAAUCCUGGUACGAAAGAAUGUUUUAAUCAAAUUGGUUCCAUAUUAUAAUUAUUAUUUACUUUGAAUAUAACAAAUUGUUACUUGAAAUUGGUUUUGCACAUCCAUUGGUUGUCUAUCAUGCCUACCACAUGAUCUAGCAUUCUGAUGGGCCAUGAAAUCAAUGGGCUAUAGGAUUGACAGUGCUAAUAUUUUUCCUACAAUCAAUCAAGGAUAAAGGAAGGUGGGAGGACUGAAUUGCAAGAAUUGUUAUGUUGCAUGAAGGGAUUCAUUUCUGUCCAUUAUAUUUACCAAGAAUUAGCACAAUAUACAUCUUUAUGCACAAAGAGACAAGUCAACCUUGCUUCAUUGUGGUUAUGGCAUAUACAUCGAAAUAGGACAUCUUAUAUUAGAAUGCAAGAUAACCUCGAGGCCCUAUCCAAGGUUUUUGGAACCGAUGCCGGGAUCCAUACCAACCAACGACCGGCAUGGAAUGGUACAGGUCCGUACUAUACCAUGCCGAGGGUGUUUCGGCCUCUUUAUGUUUUUUAUUUUUAAAUUUUGAACUGAACUCAGCAUACGGUUUGCUGACUUCAAUCCAAAAUUCGUAAAUAAAAGAGAGAGAGGGAGGGGCCAAGGCGGGUUCAAAACAAAGGAAGCAUUUAAAGAGAGAGGGGAAGAGGAAGGAGGAGGGAAGGAGGGAGGGUUGGCGUCCGAUUAAAAGCCAUGAUGCUCCACCUCUCGAGACAAUUGAGUUCCCUCAAAGGGGGAGUUAUAGAGAGAGGGAAAGGGAGGGAGGGAGGGAGGCGGUCAGCAUACUUGGACAAUCGACGGCCAGUGAGACGAGCAAGGGCGAGAUGCAUGAGAGUUGAUCGAACAGAAGAAGGAAAGGAAGAAACGAAGAAGCAGAGCCCUAAACCAAAUUUAUAGCAUGAAAAGUGCCGAUAACCGACUGGUCCGAUUUGAUACGCCCCGAAUCUGCCGGUUCGGCAUGGUUUAAUAUUUUCUAUCCUAUACCAUCACCUUGACUUUUUCUCGGAUCUUUCUCGAGCCCUCACCAGACAUAGGUUCAAUAUAUUUGAGUGUAUUUGAUCCCGCCCUUAGUAUAGGAAUAUUGGAUUAGUUAGGCUAACCUAUUUUAAUUAAUUGGUUCAUUGUACCAAUCCAAACCCUGACCCUUGUGACUAGCUCAUGCCUAGAGCUUACUAGGCUAGUCCAGCAUGUGGGCCUAGGCGGCCUACUAGGGUUGCCAACCAAACCAUAGGGCAUCCUAGGUGGCCGGCAACACUUGAGCGCUAGGGUUUUAACCUUAGGUGGCUGCUAGCCUAGGGUUUCCUAGGUGGAGCAUCCCACCCUCUCAUUAAGGGGUUGGGACCUAGGGAUCUAGGGGAUAAUGAAAGAGCUACAGCUAAGGUAGGAGUGCCAAAGAAUUGGCACGGAAACCUAGAGCUUACCCAAAACACAGAGAGAGAGAGAGAAGGAAGGAAGGAAGGAAGGAAGAGACAAGGAGGAGACCGUGGUGUGAUUCUUGAAGGGCUUGUCGGGUGCGAAAACUCUAUCUGGUGCCUAAAGAAGUCUUCUUCCAUCUUCUUGUAUUAUCUAAUCAUGUCUGCAGGUAUUAAUCUAUCUUGCUCUGCAUGUAAUCUAUAUUCUAUUGGUGAUUUAUUGAAAAAGAGUGACCCGGUUCCUAUUCUCCCACUGCAUCACGAUGUUGUAUUGUAUUGUUGUCUAUCAAAAUAAUGGUGAAUGAAGAAAAUAUAUUCCUAUGGAUUGCAAUGCAAUAUAGAAUACAGUCAAGGUUCAAGGACUAUGUCAAUAAGAAAAAAGUUUAAAACCAACUUUAUCUAAUAAAAAAUGAAGACAUUCUCAAAUACAUUAAAACAAAUGGUAUGCAGAAUAAUCUCAUAUGACUAUAAGAUUAUCCACUGUCAGAUUACUUGAGCUAUAUGGAUGAGGAUGCUUGAAUGAAGAGGGCAUGCUAGCAAACAUGAGCAUAACAACUAUGAAGAUGUUGAAGUGGCUAUAUGGUGUAACUAUAGACUUAAAAAUAGGUACAUUUGAAGAAGUUUCGCAAUAGCAAUAAUAGAGGAGAAAGUAAAUUAAGCUACAAAAAAUUAGUAAAUUGUAUCCAUCGAGAUGACACAAAAUUGAUGGCACGAGACUUGUCAAUUAUGUUUAUGUACAGUGAUUUGAUACAUCAACUAGUUUUUAGUGGUCUGCCCAUCCGUUUGGUGCAAAAUAGUUGGUUUCUAGUGUCUGUAUGCUUUUCCUUCUUGGUCCGUACCCUUUCACCCUAAUGAUAAAAGCUAAUACAUUUUGUCAAGUUCCCAUUCUUGCGAUGUUGUUCUCAAGAAACCUGUCUAAAAUGCAGCAAUUAUUUUGGUACAGAAGAUACAGCAAGGAAAAUUAGGGAUAUCGUCAGCGGUGCAGAAAAUGUUAGUAUUUUCAGUGUUAAAAUGAAACCACUAGCUAAUUGGUAUCACUAAGAAAGUUAGAGCUACCAGUGGAAGCAAGCAAGCAUUUUAGGAAAACACGGGCAAGAGAGUUGUUCCAGGUACUGAUCUCAUGAACAAGACUCCUCCAUUAUUUUUUCCUUACCGUGUCAUUAGAGCAUAUAUUGAAUGCAGUACUGCUGCUUAAAAAAAUUAUCCAAAUCAGCAACAUUUUUAUUGAUAACAAGGCUUAAUAAAGUGUAAAGAGAGUGCAGCUACAAACAAAAAACAACAUAAAACAAUUUAACCCACAGCAGAUCAUCCAAGAACAUAAUCAUUUUGUUACUAAAACACCAACCUACCAAUUCCCAUUUCCCGAAAUAUUUCCUCUUGGAUGGCUGUAGUUACAGCUACCGCCUCCUGCAAAAGAAAACUAUGUAAGUCAUAACUUUUGUUCCACUUUUGAAAACGUAAGAAUUCAUAGUUUAUAUUAAUAAAAAAAAAGAGGACACUCUAAGUUUUCUUUUGAACCUUUUUUAUAGAGUAACAUAUAUAGCCAUUCCAAAGAUGCUUAACAUGCUCUCAAGCAUACCAGGUUUAAUAAUGAAUUUGAUGUUUAAUCCAUCAGUACAGAAAGAAAAUGAUGUAUUUGUGUUAAGUGUCAAUUAUAUUGCUGAUUUAUCUUCCAAGGUUUCAAUGCCAAUGAAAACUUUCAAGGUACAACUAGCUAUAUUGCAACCUAUUUCUAAUUUUUUUGUUAUUUAAUAGCCUGCUCAAUAUGUGAUUCUAAUAAAGAUUCCAUGUUAACUUUAAAUAAGUUCUAUCAUGGCUCUAAGGAAAGGUGUCAUUUCUAUAUUUUUAUCAUUCACCAUAUUAGUUUUAAGCAAAGGUUCUAUGGAUUACUAUAUAAUUUCUUAAGCUUUUAAGUAAGAAGUGAUUGGUUUUCAUCUUUAUCUCUCAUCCAUAUUUUUUAUAACAAGUGUGUGGCUAGGCAAAGAAAAUGAAUAGAAGAUGCCCAUAUCUCUCUCUCCUCCCCCUCUCCAAAUAGUUGUCAUCUAAAUUAACUUUCAAACUUUUCCUAUUAUCAUUUUGGUCCCUAUGCAUGCAGUGUCUUCUCUUCUCUUCUUUGUGAAUUUCAAUUAAAAAGAAUAAUUAUAUGGAUCAAUUUAGCUCUCCUGUUACAUGGAAUUAAUUGAUCAGGUGUUAAUUUAUAGAGGACAAGAUUUAAUCUCACAUUGAUUUUUAUUAUGAUACAUUAUUGUAUAACUCUUCAUAAGCAUUACGUGUUAAUUUAAAAGAAUUAUUUUAUUUCUACUUUCUUUGUUCUUAUAAUAAGAUAUAGGUUUCAAGAUUUUCUUUUCUCCACCCCAUUAAAUUUUAGUAAAUAUUUCAUAUUCUACUAGGUAAUUUAUCAAGUCUUGAUCAUGAAAGCAAUUAAUUUCUGUCUCUAUCUCUCCCUCUUAUCCCUCAUUAUGGUAUGUACAAUUUUUCUUUUCUUUUUUUUAGGUGAAAGUAUCAAUGAUUAUUUCUUAAUGAUUAAAAUUAAAUAUAUUGAUGUUUAACUUUGUUCAUAUUAUUAUUUGACUUCUCAUUGCAACUUACUUCAUGUUUGUGAGAUCUCAUUCUGUUUGUUGUGCAAGCAUCUUCUUCGCUUUUAAGCAAAUUUCUUGCUCCCCUGUAUUCUCCUCCAACUAUUCUUAAGCUUGGGUAAGAGAAAAUCAUGUCAUGUGAUCCAUUACUACAUGCAUAACAGAAAGCACAUGAUCAAACAUUCAGAAUUGUAAGUUUUGCAAGAAAAAUGAUUCAAUGGGGAUUUAUUUUUUUACUACAUUAUUUGCAUUUGUUUCAAAGGAAGAAACCCAAAAAGUUUUUAUGGAAAACUGUUAGUUUUCCAACAGGAAUACAACUAUGAUUGAAAUUGGAAUUACUCAAGAAAAGUUUAAGUUUACUUUAGAAUUAAUCAGUUUUAUAGUUCGUCAGUGUUUAAUGGAUAAAAAAAAAACUGCAAAUUAUACUCUCGCUUACCCUAUUAUCGCUAUCAGUAUCCUCUUUAUACAUGUACGAUCAAUAUAUGUACUGCUAAGUGAGAUAUAUGAACAAAAAUACAAAUUAAUUAUCAGUUGCUGAUACAUGUAAUGUCCAUGGCAAUGGCUGAAUGAUAGUUGUUGUAUCCUUAUUAACAUAGUUCCGACUUAAACCAUUAUUCCCCCAAAACCUAUCUAUCUACCGACAACAAUGAUCGAGCAGUUAAUCAGCAACUGAUAUCCGCAGUCUGUCAUGGUAAUUAAGGAAACAAGGGGGUAAAAGGAAAAUUUGAAAAAAAAAAAAGCUCGUUGUAAGAGUUAUCAAUAAAAAAAAAUAAAGAAAGAUUUUAAAGUAACAGAAGGUAGAACUCAAGAACUCACAUUUAGCAGAAAAUUUAUAAAGAAAAUCAAGUGACGAUUAUAAAAAACAUACCUGCUUGUCCUUUACGGCAUUGGCUAUCCGUUUCUUGACAUCUGAAGAUCCAAAGAUGCAUCAAAACGGGAAAUCAGAAAGGAAAACACACGCAGAGGGGGACAACCAGAGAGGGGGGGAAACGGGAAGAGGAGGGAGCGGACCGGGUUGGGAGGUGAGGACCGAGAAGCGAGCGAAGAGGUGGAGGAGCUGGUCUCUGGAGAGCAUUUCCGAGCUCUGGAGGGCCCUCGGAGGAGCGGAAGCGCUCGCCAUGGCUCAGAGAAGAGAGGAGAGGAGGGAGAUGGAGGCCGAGGACGAGAACAGCCGAUCGAAGCGGCGAAUAACAGCAGCACAAAGGAAAAAGAGACGCCGCUAGAGCUUGGUGGGCGUACCGUUGUCGCCGAUAUCCUCCACAUAAACGGAUUGUGUUACGAAUAACGGCCGUUAUACACACACUCCAGCUCGUUUGGCAGUCAAGUAUUUUAUUUAUUUUUUGCUUAGGAAAAGAAAAAGCCGGGAGGAAGGGACAAGUCCAUCUCUGCAUAGCAGCUCCCACACUCCCACUUCGGUAGGAGAAUGUUCGAUGCGGGUAGAAUGAUCAUGUAUUGGGCAUCUCGGCCGGUUUUACUCAUAUCCUUUCCAUCCAUAGGCCCGGCUUGGUUAUCCCUAUAGGCUCUGGCACAAAUUCUCUGUAUGAGUACGUCACAUCUGGCACCACCGAAGCUAUCAGAGGACCAAUAAGCCCUUCCACCCCAAAUGUCCGAGCGGGGAGCAUCCGGGCAACUAUUACGACCGCCAGGAUAACUCAUUAUAGCGAAAAAUAACAAUAUUAUUCAUUUAAAUCACUGUUUAGACAAUAAACAUUAUUUUUUAAGCAAUCCGCUCCGCUAAUUUUUUUUUAUGACUAUGUUUAUUUAUAUCAUGAAACAAUUUACAAUAUAUGUCUAUCUUAUUGAUACAUUACGAAAAAAAACUUCCUGAUAUCUAGGUAUAGUUGAACUAAAUACUUUAUGGAUCAUGAUUUAUAUCUUAAAAUAUGAAUAGAUUUAAAUUUAUUAAAUUAUAGUAAAGCAUAGUAUUAUGCCAUUAAAACUGUUAGUUUUAAUACUUGUUUGAUACUUAGAGACCACAAACAUAUAAAUGUUGGUCUCUAAAUAUUUUUUGUAAUAUAGAUCAUAUAAUGAUUUAAAUCUUGAGUUUAGAUAAUUUAUCAUUGAUUUUGAAGGAGUUGACAUAAAAUAUGUAGUCUAACUCAUAUAUGCAUAUGUAUCUACGUACAUACAUACAUGCAUAAAUAUGUAUGCAUAUGAGAAAGAGAAAUAUAGACUAUGUAAUCUUGCCGAUAGAGGUUUUCUACUAUUCUCAAAUUCAAAAUCAAUAUUGGGUAAACAAAUCGAAGAUUUGAUUUAUAUCAAUAAACAUACUUUAUUAAUUUCAUUACAUAAAGAAAAAGAAGUGAGUCUAAAUGAAUCUUUUUUUCGCGAGACUAGCAAAUCAAACUAGAGAAAGUCCCAGAGUUAUUUGUUCACUUUCACUCUCCAACAAGAAAAAUCACAAGAAUCUCAUUUCCAUAAAUAUUUCACUCAUAAAAAAUAUAAUAUUUCUCUAAUAAAAAAGGUUACAACCAUUCAUAUAUCUUAUCAAGUGAUUUGGACAUGUGAGACACUGGUUGAAAUAAUAUGAAUAAUUUUCAUACUUAAAAAACCCAUUAUGUAUAAGAUUAUAAAGUCUAGCAACAACUAUAGAAACCUUAAUAUAAAUCUUGAAUUAGAGAGAGAGAUAGUCAUAAAAGGUAUUCAGUGAUCUACAACUGGGAUUCUUUUAUCUAGGUGUGCCUUUAAUGUGUGGUCCUAAUUACUGGUUGGUUAGAAUAUGCCUCGAAGGAUAAUGACAUGAAUCCCCUGCUCCUCCACUAUAUGAAGUUUUUAGACUCUCUAAACCUUAAUUGAUUUCAUUGCUCGAGCUGAUUGUCAUCUUCCUCCAAAUUUGAGUCAAAAAUCAUGCAUACUUCAACGACUCAAUAGGAUAAGGCUUUCUUGAAGAAUAGUUAUUCAGAGAAAGCUAUUUUUCUUUUUACUACACCCAUGCUUUCUAGAAGCUCCCGAGACAUUUCUAAUAUCCUAUAUAUUUUUCAUACAUAUCUUGUAUGUAGUGAUAUUUUAAACAUUCUAAUCAUCACAUGUAUGAUGCAUAGCACAAUCCUAGCCACUCUAAUACAUAAUUGAGCUCUAUAUAUAAGGGAGGGAUCUUUGUUUGCAACCUAACUCUGAAAAAUUCUAAUCUCCAUUUUCUAAUAUAUACAAAAACUUUCAUUCACUAUGCAUUCUCACUCUCUCUUGCUCUCCUACUUUUCCUAAAUAAAUAAAAGGAUUGGAUCCCAAAUUGCCAAGGGUGUGGCACUAGAUUGAUUAAGACAUAUCUAAAUAAAGAAAGGCUAACCUGGUUAUGCAUAGGUAGUCCAGAUGCUGCAUGAGUUUUGGAUAAGGUGCAAAUCUUAAAUCAGUGACAUGAUGCUCAAGAGCAUUUAGCAUUUCAGUGUAAAAAUUUAGGUGCGACCUACAUGGUAACAUGAGUGGUAGGUGGAAUAGCUAGGAGUUAACUGCAAUAUCUUCGUCCAAAUGACAAGAUCUUAGAGUCACUAUAAACAAAUUUCUCAUGCUUGGUGUCAUCUUGCUUGUUGAUACAUGCCAAAUUUCUAUUAAAUAUUGGGAUGUUAAAAGAUUAAAUCAAUUUUUAAAUAAAACAAAUCAACAUCCAAUUUGAAAGCAUAACUUGAUAGAUAGGUCCCAACUCUAGAUGUUUGAGAAUCCAUUUUGAAGCUAAUUUUGAUUUGUAAAUGUUUUUCCUUUUCUAAUUGAUUUUAACGUAAGUGCUUAUAUUAUAAUCAAGUUUGAGUAUAAAACUCUAGCAGGGUUUGAUUUGCAAUAAAAAGAUUUUUCAAACUUUUAGAAGAAAUCAAAGAGUUUUAUAUGUUAUAACUUUUUAACAAUUUAUAUUGCAGAGAUAGCUAGGCGCUUAUGAUAUCUUUGGCAACAUCAGAUUAAAAAUGAAAUUCUUGACACACAAUAUCAUCCAAGUCUUAGUCCAUGAUUAAAAGUGAUGGAGAUAGACAAGAAUUCAAGGCUUAUUAUCACCAUCGAAAAUAAAGUUGACAUUUAUGAAUUGAAAUAAAUAUAUGCAUGGCUGAUUGGUAGUUUUCAUGGAUAAUGAAGAUUAAACUACAAGUUCUUAAGACUUUUGAGGCCUUAAUCUUAUUAUAUGGGUCACCCUAAUUAGACAUUUGUCAUUUUUAUUAUUAUCUUUCAUUUCCUGUUACUUAGUUCAUUACGUCGCUACUUUAGUUCAAGCAAUUUUUUUAAUUGGCAAAUCAUCUAAGAUGGUAAUAAAGCCAUUUUGCUUUAGUGUGAAGCAACUUUAUCGUAUGUUAAGAUUACUUGGUCUACAAGCCUCUUUACUUGCUCAAUAGGUUAUUUGGGCAUAAAGGGCUACCUAGUAAUUAUCUUUUCAUGUAGAGGUAUAUAUGUCAUGACUCAUAAGGUACUUUUAAGUUGCUCUAUAAAUAGAGGAUGCGCUUCCUCUCUUGGGUUCUCAUAUAACAUAAAGGAAUGAAAUCACUUUUCUUUAUAUGAGCUUCCUUCAUGCAAUACGAAGUUGGUGUGAGACCCUCCAGUAAUUCCAAAGUUCUUCGUCUCUAUUCCAUCCUCUCCUACUUCUCUAUUCCAAAUAUUUUCUUUUUGAGCUAUUUUUCACCACCUUCGCUAGAAAAAAAACCCAUAAUGCAAGACUUUAAUCCCAUAAUGCAAAUUCAUGACCUCCAACAAUUUGAGCUCUAACACUAUUUAAACUAACCAAUUUAUCCCAAAAGUUUAAGUUGAUAAAGAAAUCUAUCAAGCUUAACAAAGAAGAAACCAGCUCAUAAAGAUUCAAAUUUAGCUUUGACUUCCCAAACUGUCCAUGUUGCAGCAUUGAUCAUUUGUUCAGCAUCCGGAAAGAACAAUAUGAUCCCAUUUCCCACAUUCUCUCGAAAAAUGACACAUUUUUACAUUAGAUAUGCAAUUCAAGUUCUAUCUUGCAGUGCAUUAUUAUUUUAUAGUCAGAAACAAUAGGUUGUGCAAGUGCUGAACAGAAAAAUUGGAAGUGAAAUGGAGGACAAGGAGAAUCAUCAAAAAUCUUUUUUACGAAAAAAAAGCAGAAAAAAUAAAUCAUGCAACCUGCAAUCAUAAGACUUCCUUGUUAAGCAAGUCAAUUAGGUAGAGCUAUUUAUGCUCAAAUUCAGAUCCUUACAAUAAGGGAACCACAUAAAAUCAAUCGUCACGACAUUGAACUACAAGGCAACUAGGUCUCAAUGCUUUGAACUUUGCAUCUACUACAUAAAGUUAUUCCAUCCUUCACACCUAUAUGAACAAUUAGAACACCUAGUGCUUUUCUAGUUCUAACUUCAUUUUUGAGGGGGGAAACAUUGGAAAUAACACAUUCCCAGUUUCACCAAAAAAGAAAGAAAGAAACAAAAAAUCGCAUUUCUGGUUCAAACUUGGAACCACUCUGUGGCAAAUGCACUGAAGAGAGGGGUGCCAACCGGCCAGACCGACUUAAAGAUGGGUACUUGAAACAUCUCCAUAACUACUAACUGCUGUGUUCCAAAACAAAUUAAAUGUAGAUCUAAAGAGAAUUGAACAUCUUAAGAUGCAAGCUUAGAUCUUUCAGGUAUAGAACUUGCUAAUCUAUAAUAAUGUUGUCAGGUUUUCUAAUAUGACAUCCCAAGAUGUUCUAUCAGGCAUGUUUAAAUGUUUAAGCACAUGUCCAUCGAAAGUUGUUAAAAAUAAGAAUUUGUAGUGGAUUAUCCUUCCUGAAGAAACACUAUUAUCUAUAUACAGAUAUGUGGAAGUAGAUUCAUCAAUGAUAUGAAACAGAAUUGGAUUUUAUCCAAAACAGUUUCUGAAAAAUACUAUUUCUACAUUCAUAAAUAUAUGGAAAUAGAUUCAUCGGUGAUCUGAACAAGUUGAUGUAAAGAUCACAAGGUCUAAAAAUCAGUGCAUAUCCAAGUCAUAUUUACACAUAGAUAUUGCAGAUAGAUGAAAUAAAAUGUGUAUGACAACAUAUGCAAUUUCAUGAGUUAACACCAAAUUUCGGGUAAAAGAUUUGGGCUACCGAUUUUUUCCAAGUGGAUUGGCAGACAGCAUACUAAAAAAUAAGAUUCUUAUAUUUGAAGCACUCUUCAACCUAUAUUAGAGAAGAAAUAUUAGAGAAGCACUCUUAUAUUCACCCAAGAAAUAGCUAAAUAACUGACAUCUCUUUCAAUCAAAUGAAGAUUUCUUCUGAUGGCCUGGUGAAAAGCUCUGAUAUCCAAGUAUUGCAUCUGUAUAGAAGCAAGAAACACGUCAAAGCAUGUAGAGGAGAAAUAAGCAUUCUAAAGACAACCAGUUGGCAUUUCUCUACCCAUGUGAGGAACCCAAGGUUCAAACCUUGGCGAUGGCACAAGCACACCAUAUUUCUUUAAAAAUAAUUAAAAACAGAAAUCCUAGAACAAACCCAAGAGAUAAUUCAUACUAGUUACUGCUGAUCUAUGGCUGGUAGUAUCACAUUCUUUAAAAAGAAUUAAAAACAGAAAUCCUAGAACAACCCAAGAGAUAAUUCAUACUAGUUACUGCUGAUCUAUGGCUGGUAGUAUCACAUCAGAAAAUCCCUCAGCAUACUUGGUGCGCUGUUCAGCAUGACAAAUUCAAGUGCUCAUGUGGAUACAUGUAAACCUAGUGCAAUUUUCAAAAUAAUAACAAUUGGAGAUAUUGCUCCCAAACAAGAAUGGACAGAAGGACAGAAGUAGGAGGUCGAGAUAGAGGUGCAAACAAGCUGAAAAGAGCCAAGUAUCAGGCUGCUUGGCUAGGCUUAAUAUAUACCAGGAUUGCUCAAGCUCAGCUCAAGCUCAAGCAGAGCUAGCUGAAGUUGUUCAAGUUCAGCUUGUACAAGCUCUUAUCUGAGCUUUAUUGAGCCAAACCGAGCUUCCCAAAUUUCUGCAACCAGCUCAUUUUCAAUCACAAAUCAUUUAUGAGCCAAUCUCUCGAAACAGUUUGAGCCCAGCUCGCCUUCCGAGCCAAACCUGAAUAGCUGUUGUUGAGCCGAUCUCGAGAUGCUCAUGAAACACAUGGAUUGUUUGCAGAUGUAAAGGGAGAGUGCAGACAUACAAGUCCCAUUUAGAGAUCAACAUACAAAUCUCUUUGAAAAUCCACUUUACUCAUACGUGAGAGUAAGCAGCAGACUAGUAUCAAGAAUAGCACAAAGGACAUAGGCAUGCUUCUGCAUAAGCAACAAGAGAAAGAAGAGAUUCAUUAAUAGUACAAGAUUCUAAACUAACAAUCAUGUGUAUUGCAUUUCAAAUAAUCUGUGGGAAGGGCAUGUAAACACUAGAUGCUUGAAGCUUCUAUCUUGGACUAACACAUAUUCAGCUGAUUUUAUUCUCACAUGGAAUUGAACGCCCGCAGCUAGUUAAAAGCACUCACACAGGUUGAACUUUUACAGAACAAAUAAAAUGGAUACUUAAUCAUCACCAAACAGAACAAUGCAAGUUUAAAAUUUGAGCUAUUUGAGUUUACUUCUUCUCAAAUAUAAGGAAAUAUUAUUUUUAUAUUCAUAAGGAAAGGUAUCGCACAACCUCUGUAAUUAAAUCAUAACAAGACAAAGAGAUGCUGAUUAGCAAGUUACUUUAUGGAUAUGAAGGUUAUACAUUAAAUUCACUAAGCAAAUAAUUGCGUAAAUGCAACAAGUCAACCAAAAGCAAAUGAUUUUUCCUUCAAUUUUUCUGAACUUCAGAGCUAUUUCUGCUAAACUUGUGAUGUAAUUAACUCGUAAAUUAAUUGCACAUUAAUUCCUUUGAAGUUUGAGCAGAUGAGUGCAGUGCCUGGAAAAAAAAGAAUGUUUCUAAUUUUACCGAUCAGACAUGCAAAUUCUUAUAGUAGCAUCAGUUCAUUACAGACUACUUUUCUGUGGCAUUUCUUCUUUUUGGUAGAAUCUAUGGCAUAUCUUCAGUGUCCAGAUGUGAGAAUCCAACCAAAAAAGACGCACCAUAGAAUUAGGUCAAUCUCAAUUGCCGGUUUCUUUGGGCUGCCAACUAUAAAUGUAAUAUCCUACUAAAAUAUUAUCUCUGUGAUCACAUUACAUAACAGAUUAUUUCACCCUCUUAACAAACAGGCACAGAUGAAGACAGAUAGAGAGGAUUUAUUCAACAGACAUGAUGAAGCUAUUAAGAUAUGAGAAUAAACAUGAAACUCCAUGCAAACAAUUAUAUGCUAAUUUCAUAUAACUCAUAGCAAAUACGCAUUAAUGUGUUAUGAAUCCAUGAUAGCCAUAAGCAGUUGUUGUUGAUUGACUGUUGGCGAGCAUAAAUCUGAAACAAAACAAAAAUAUUUAAGCAGCCGAGAGAAAAAGCAGGGACUCUUGGGCGAGUCGCUUUAAGUUAGACAUCCACUUUCCGUUAAGGGAAGCGUAGAUCAAUUCCUGUUUUGGUUAGCGGGCGCAGUUGACUUGACGCAUAUCCCUCAGCAAGAUUUAUGCUAAUUCACGAGCCGUCCUAAUAAUCCACAACUACAUAAACAAAAACUAUUGGAAAAAUAUAUCCACAUGAAACUGCAGCAGAAUUUGCUUAUGAGAACUCAAGAGAAGUAUAUGACACCAGAAAACGCAUUGCAUAUAUGAAAAGAUAAAAUUGGAAGAGAAAAUUUCCAGAGCAUGUUAUUGUAAUGAAGAUUGUUAAACUGAGCUACUGAGAGAAAGUACAACACAAUAGUCAUUAUUACCUCUUACCGUAGUAUCUAAAACCAUAGACAGAAUGCCAUGCGGCCCAUGUCUAGUAAGAGUAAGCAAAUUCAUCGCCAAUUUAUGAAAGACAUCAAAAAGAAAGUGUAAAAUUGAACAUUUUUUUGUUCCCACAGCAUAGAUAAACUCACGCAUAAUGACAAAAAAUCAAAUCAAAGUCAGACACAAUCAGUCAAAUCAAGCUUCGAUCACAUAAUCUGCUCAUGAUUCAUAGUGAUUGCCAUGUACACUAAAAUUUCCUUCACUGUUCUAGGAGAAGAAUUGCAUUAAUUUAAUUCCAUAAAAGGCACUGCUGUACUCACCUUUAACCCACAAAAGUCUAUGAUGAGGUGUGCAAACAAAAGGCUAACAUGACAAGUCCAAGAGUAUACCUCCCACACCAACCAAAGUGAUGCUAUAUCUCCAGUACCAUCCUCCAAAGAUCACUUACUUUUCUCUAGUAAUAAACACAGGAAUCUCCUUCAUGAUAAACCUUCUCCCUCAGACAGCCCACGAUAAACCAUCAACAACAUCUCUUAGGGGCAUUAUUUCAAACACAAAAGACCUCAUUGGAAUACACCAUUCCACACUAUACAAACACAAAACAAAAGACAAUCUAUGGCUUUCCAAAAGAUCAUUUAUAGUAUAUUAGACUUCUUAUAAACAUACAUAAACCUUCAACCAAAGCAAACUCACCUGAAAGAAAGCAACAGUGAAAUUAUUACAGAGAAAGAAUCAUUCAGAAAUCCUCGUCUAACUUGAACACAUGGUUCCCUCCAUGGCCAUUCCCAUUCAAGCUCGACAUCACCGCCGCCUUCUGGUAGUCCCCGACCCUCUUCUCGAAAAAAUUAGUCUUCCCUUGGAGCGAUAUCAGCUCCAUCCAAUCGAACGGAUUCGCUGCCCCGUACAACUUCCCGCAUCCCAACGCCCCCAAGAGACGAUCCGCCACGAACUCGAUGUAUUGGCUCAUCAAAUCCCCAUUCAUCCCCACAAGCGCCACGGGCAACGCGUCGCAGACGAACUCCCUCUCGAUGUCGACAGCGUCGGCGAUGAUCGACUUGAUGCGGUCCUCGGGGAGCUUGCGGUUGAGGAGGGAGUAGAGGAGGCAGGCGAAGUCGCAGUGGAGGCCCUCGUCGCGGGAGAUGAGCUCGUUGGAGAAAGUGAGGCCCGGCAUGAGGCCUCGCUUCUUGAGCCAGAAGAUGGAGCAGAAGGAGCCGGAGAAGAAGAUCCCUUCAACAGCGGCGAAGGCCACGAGGCGCUCCGCGAAAGAGUCCGAGGACUGGAUCCACCGGAGCGCCCACUGGGCCUUCUUCGCCACCGCCGGAACCGUCUCGACGGCACGAAAAAGGCGGUCCUUUUCGUCAGGGUCUUUGAUGUAGGAUUCCAGCAAAAGAGAAUACAACUCGGAGUGGAUGUUUUCGAUGGCUAUCUGGAAGCCGUAAAAGGCGCGGGCCUCGGCGAUCUGGACGUCGGACAUGAAGCGGGCGGCUAGGUUCUCGAGGACGAUACCGUCAGAGGCGGCGAAGAAGGCGAGGACGUGGGAGAUGAAGUGGCGCUCGUCGGGGGUGAGGGUGUGGAGCCAGUGGGGGAGGUCGGCGGAGAGGUCGACCUCCUCGGCUGUCCAGAAAGAGGCGACGGCCUUCUUGUACAUCUCCCACACCUGGGGAUACCGGAUCGGGAACAUCGACAGGCGGUCGGGGGUCGGGGCGAGGAGCGGCUCCUCCAGCUCCUCGACGGCGCCGGCGCCGGCGCCGGCAGGCAUCGACGGCAUGGCCAGAGAGGAGAUUCUGGGAAGAAGAAGAAGAAAAUGUAGAGAUAGGGGCGUUUUGGGAAUUCGAGAGGGGAAUAUCUGGUAGGGUUUUUGGCGUGGAUGCUGAUUGAGUGGGGUAUUUUUAUAGAGAGAUUUCGGGAAUGGAGAGGGCGGGGAGUUCUAAAUUUGGGGACGAUGAUUGCCGAUUUGCCGGGGAGGGAGAAGGGAUCGGUCCACCGGGAGGUGAGUUUGAGGAAAUUGUUACCGCAUGGAUUAGAUGUUCUGUUUCCUAAAUUCUGGAACGACGAAUCGACGAUUGGACUGGACAGCAGAGUGACCGCCAUGACGGAUGUGACAGCCGUUAUCUGCCCGCUUAAGCCUCUAAAUUGAUUUUUGGAGACUUAAAAGAAAAACUGUAGUAAAAGGUUUAGGCCCACUGGCUGAGCGGUUGGUUUAUAAAAAAUAAUUUAUUAUUUAAUAAUUAUAUUUUUAAAGGACUGUAAAAUUUUAAUAUGUAUUUGAUAAAUAAACUAAAAAAUAUUUUUGAUAUGAUAAAAUGACCAUAAAAAAUAUUACAUAGUAUUAUAUAACAGAGCAUUAUAAAAUAUAAUCUAUAUUAAUAUAUAAAUAUAUGAUAUAAUAUAAUAUUACUAUAAUAUAAUAUCGUAUUAUUAUAAUAUAGUAAUAUAAUAUUAUGUACUGUAGCAUAAUAUGCAGAGUUUUCAUUGAUAGACUUUUUAAUCAUUUCUAUAAAAAAAAAGGUAGAAAACCGAGAACCAAAGGGAUACAAUAGUGAGAAUACCCGUAUUCAAGGAUCAAAGAUACUCAGCAUUUAUCUUCAGAAAAAAAUGAAAUAGACUAUGCAGUAUGGCCCACACAAAUCACUUUUGAAAAUUCUGAGAGAAUUAACAGAAGAAAUUAUGGACAUAUAUAACAUAAUUUAAUAUUAUAUAACAUAACAUAUCAAUAUAUUAUGAUAUAAUAUAAUAUAAUAUUAUAUUUAUAGUAUAAUACAGUAAUAAAAAUAUAAAAUAUUAUCAUUAUUAUCAUUAUAUAUUAAUAUUUUUAUUUUCUAUAAUUAUUAUAUUUUAUUAUGGGUAUUUUGGUCUAAAAAGAAAAAAAUUAUUACUCAAAAUAGCUUUCAAAGCUAAAACAGCUUUCCGUUUUUUUACCAAAUACUUCUAUUCCAUCUAAAAAUACUUUUAGAAGGCUAGAAAGUGCCAAAAUUUUUGCCAAGGAGGCCUUAAUGGACCAUAAUGUGAUCUUUAUGCAUCACUAGUUAUAUAAGAAUAUAAAUUAUUUUCUAGAUUAUAAGAAUUUAACAUUAUUAUUUGUCUUACUACAGUUGUAAAGAUUAAAUAAUGACUAUUACUACUAUAUAGUAUCAAAAUAUUGAAAAAGAAGAAUAAGAGAGAAGAGAAUUAUAUUUCUGGUUGUCUUUACAACGUAUAUGAACAGCCUUUAUAUAGACUAGGAGACUGACGAAAUUUAGUAAGGCCGACUAAGUUUGACACAAUCAAUCACAAAUCAAUCAAGGUGAAGUUUAGUAACGCCGACUAAGUUAGGCAUAACCAAUCAAUCAAUGGACCUAAUCAAUCAUACGAUUUUAACAUCCCCUCAAACAGUCAAACUUAAGGUGGUAAAGGGCAUCUUGCGAUCUCUUGUUUCCAAACUCAAGUUAGUGGCAUGGGCGGAGCAUGUCCUCCUCUCCGCCGGAUCGUGGCGCGGUCGGCGGUGGCGUGACGGAUCUCUGCCUUGGUCGUGGCCGGUCGGCAAUGGGGUUUUCCCCUUCCUCCACUAGAGAGAUCGGAAGAACUGAGGAGAAGGCUUGGGAGGGAACAAGAAACCCACGGGAAAGGGGGAAGAAGAAGGUGUUUUUAAAAAAAAAAUUAAUGAGAGAAAAAAAAGACACCAUAGCUCCCUGAGCACCUUUCGAUUGAAAGUCAAACAAAAAAUAAUAAAAAAAUAAAAAUAAUUAAAAAGAGAAACAAUGGCUAAAAUUUUAUCGGAGAAGAGAGUUUUGAAAGCUGCUGAGACCGAAGCUCCGAUAACUCUCCAAACAAGAUAGGAGAAAUAGAGAAUCUGCGAGCGACGAUGAACAAAAAAAAAAAAGAGAGGACGACAAUAAGUUAAAUGAUCGGUGGCUCUGAUACCAUGUUGAAAAAGAAGAAUAAAGGAGAAGAGAAUUAUAUUUUUGUCUGUCUUUACAAUAUACAUGAAAGGGGCGUUUGGUUUGGGAUGAUCGUCCUAGGAUCAAGGGUGAUGUGGGUGGAGGUGAUGAGAUCACCGCGUUUGGUUGCACCAUAGUGAUCCUAAAUCGCCUCCACUCCUCAAAUCACCAUCCAACUCGGUGAUGGGAUACCCGUCCUUGAGGUCGGAAAUCCAAGAUCACCUCAGAACCGUGAUUCUGGGUUGAAAGUUAAAGACAAAAAUACCCCUCAAUUUAGCAGAAAAAUUGAUAUAUCAGUAUACCAUCAAUAUAUUAUGUCCACGUUAUAUAUAUAUAUAUAAUGUUAUGUUGAUAUGAUAUAUUAUAUUAAUGAUAUAUAUAUGUAUAUUAUAUUACUAAUCAUAUUAUUAUCCUAUUAUUAUUGAAGGAUAAUUUUAAAUUAUAGUAUAAAUAUAUUAUUAUAUUUUAUAUUUAUAUAAUGAAAAUAUUUAAUAUAUUACUCCUUUUUACCUUAUUUUCCUAAUCCAAAAAUUAUUAGUAUUAAAAAAUUUAUUAUAAGUAUAAAUAAAAAUAUUAAUUCUAUAAUGAAAAAUAACAUAUUUUUAUAAGAUUAAUAAUUUAUAGGAGUAAUAAAUAUAUUUUUAUAGAAUGUAUUAUUAAUUAAUAUAUUGAUAAAUAUAUUAAUAUUUUUUUAUAAUAUAUUUUAUAUGAUUAAUAAAUAUAUGAUAAUGGCUACUAAAAGUAGAAUAUGCGACAAAAUUAUGGAGCUAUUAUAAGAAUUAAUAUAUUGAUUUACAUUUUUGAUUCAUUAGAAUUAAAAACAUAUAAAAAAUUCAUCUAAGAUAUAUCACGGGUAUUUGUGGUAUUAUGUGGUCGGUGAUCUUGGAUCCCCGUACCAUAUCAAACAAGUUACUCAUGAAUACUCGAGGAUUUUUAAUCACUGGACCAUUACCUACUAAAUACAUUCUUAGAUCACUGAAGAUCAAAUCACCCCAGCAUUCGAAUCAUCGGAGAUUUUAGAUCACUGUGGUGAUCCUAUUGGGGUUACCAAACGCUCUCAAGUAGUCUUUAUAUAGAUUAGGAAGCUGACGAAAUUUGGUAAUCCCGACUAAAUUUGGCACAAUCAAUCACAAAUCAAUCAAGGUGAAGUUUAGUAAGGCCGACUAAGUUUGGCAUGAUCAAUUAAUCAAUGGAUCUAAUCAAUCAUAUGGUUUUAACACAAAAUAUAUACAAAAUAUUGUCUAAAGUAUCUAAGUUUUGCAUGUUGAGCAGGCCUAUAAAGAAAGCAUUGCAACAGCCGUUAUGAUAACGGCAUGAUGCCGUUAGUCAAGCUUCUCGGUCCUAGCCAUUACGCGUUUGAUGCCGAGGUGAGGGAUCGCGGGGAAUUUGAGGGGAUUUGUUUUAGCAUUGGGGAAGGAUAAUUUUAAUUUUGGCGGGAGGUUUGGUUGGGAAAUUGGAUGGCGCGCGCGUGAAGUUUGCGCGGGAAUCUUGAAGGCCUUUGCGGAGGGCUGAUCGCGAGUUUGCCGCGUGGACAAUAAUUGGCCGUACGCGUGGAUGUAUCGGUUGGGCACGUGGAUCCAGGUGGAUCCCGUUAUUUCGACUUGUGCGGCUACGGGCGUCAUGAACUGAGCAAAAGCUUGACUUGAGAAGAGAUGGAAUUAGCUCGACUCCUAGCUAAGUAAACCAAGCUUGGACAAACUAAUUUGAAGCUAAGCUAAAACUUGGUCCACUUCAACCAAGGUCGGCCCGAUCAGACCAAUAUAUUUAUAUAUUUUAUAUGACAUAGAUAAUAGACCAUGCAUUUAAUGAAAUAAUUAGUACAUCUUUUUAUCCUUUUAAUCAUUUAAUUCUUCAUUUAAGUUUGAAUCAAGCUCUAAAUCAAGCUUCAUUCGGCAUUUAAUUUAAGUUUAAACCGAGCUUGAAUCAAGAUUGGAUUAAUUUGAGAUCAAUUUAGGGCUAUCAAGUUGAUUGAUUAGGCUCAUAUUAGGCCUACUUCAAAAGUAAGCAUGAAUUGAGCUUGAAAAAAUGGUAAAAAAACAAGCUUGUUCCAAAGGGUUCCAACUUCAAAUUAAUUUUAACCUAAGUAUUAUUAGACCCAUGCUCAAUUAAGCUUAAUUCGAUUACACCCGACUAAUUACACCAUAUUCCAACCUACAAUGUAUAUUUAAAAGGCCAAUUGGAUUGGAGCCAUGUGAGCAAUCUGAAUGGGCUGAAGGAAAUGAUUGGAAACUCAACUAAUUAAACUACCAUGUAACGUUUAACAGACCGACGACAUCUAAAUAGUGUUAGCCAAAUCGGGUUGAGGAAUCAUUUGAAGUGCAGAUCAAGUUUUAAAAGAUGGAAAGCAUAGGCCAAGUGAAGGUAGCCUAUCCAAAAGGCUAAGGCCCUGUUUGGGUGAGCUGUUAGUAGUAGAACUUUUAGAAGUAGAACUAUUAUAAGUAGAGCUGUCUGAAGCAGAGCGUUUAUAAAAAGCUGUUUGCUGUUUGGUAAAUAUAUUUCUAAAGUGCUGUGGUACUUUAACAUGUGUUUGGUAAACAAACUGAGAAAGUACUUUUGCAUGACAAAAUGACCAUAAAGGACAUUACCAGUAUCAUACAAUAGAACAUAAUAAAAUAUAAUAUAUAUUAAUACAUAAAUAUAUGAUAUAGUAUAAUAUUAAUGUAAUGUAAUAUAAUAUUAUAUUUAUAGUAUAAUACAAUAAUAAAUAUAUAAAUAUUAUAAUUAUUAGUGUAAAUUAAUUUUUCAUCCUUCUAAUGACCAUUUAUUUCUCUAACAAAUUUUCUAGCUAGGUAAUAAAAUUGGUUAAAUAAUUACUAAUUUAUUUAUUUAUUUAUUUUAUUUGUUAUUUAUUUAUUUAUUAUUUUAUUUCAUUGAAAUAUAGAGAGGUCGCCAGCCAUAUGUGGUGGCUGGCAUGGUGGCUGCCACUGUGGGCAACCACGAGCUCCCAAAACAAAAAAAAAAGAAAAAAAAAGAAAGCAGAAGAAGGAACAGAGGUGGCGGCGUUGAGAGGAAGAAGAAGAUAGAGAGGGAAAGGGAGGGGAUGGGUGAGAGAGGAAGAGGCACGAUGAGGAUUUUGGGAAAAAAAAGUGAGAUUUAAAUAGGGAUAUUUUGGUACAAAAAACAGCUUUCCGACAAAGCUGAAAACAGCGUUUUCGGAAAGCUCCAAAUUGGAGCUUCUCCCCAAAAGCUGUUUUCAGCUUCCGCAAAAGCUGAAACAGUUUUCCGAAAAUUUUAUCAAAUACCAUAUUUUAUCUAAAAAUACUUUUGGAGGGUCAGAAAGCACAUUUUUUAUUAAAAAUACUUUUGGAGGGCCAGAAAGUGCUUUCUGGCCCUCCAAAAGCUCCCCCAAACAGUGAAAAGGCUGUGACAUUGAUAUUGAACAUUGGUUAUUACCAAAGAACUAAAAAGUGGAAUGAGCAACUGGAACUGACUAUUGAAACAUCUAAAAGAAACUGGAAGGAUAGGCAGCGACAGGUGUCACACGAAAAAUAUGCAGGUAUCUGGUAAUUAAUAACAAAUUGCAUAAAUAUUAGGAUAUAAUUCAGAGAACAAAUAUUUCGCCAAUCAGAAGUUAUCAGUUUUUCUUGUUUUAUCUUCCAAUUACUUUCAUUUAUCCUACAUUUUAGUUAUUCUUAGUUCAUAAAUCAUAACAUAGUUUCAUAGCCACUGCUCCCUUGUCCAAGAAGAUGCCACUCUAGCAGUAAAAGUCUUGAAGGUCAAAGUCAUAGAUUUCACAACCAUUUGUAUCUCUUUCUAGUUCAGAUAUUGGUGGCAACUCCAUGCAGUCAUCUGACCUUGCCACAAGGUUGGAUCCCCUCUCUAUCCAAUCUUAGGAGAAAAAGGCAUGAACAAGCUCUCAAGCAUGCUUAAUGAGACACAUGUAGCUGCUAAGAUGCUGCUGUGAAGGAGAAACAAAAUUUAACUAUCAGGCAAAACUGUGAGGGAUCAUGACUUCGAGAACCAAAUUUCUCAAGCAGGGUUGAUGUAUCCAUCAGCUAGUCUAUGGUAGGAGAUUGUUUCACAAUUCAGAUUCCACAUGGACAAGAGCUGGCAAAAUCUAUUAGAAGCAUGACAAGCCAUGUGGUCACUGUGCUAAAGCCAUUUGUUGAAUAGCAUGAGUCAUCAUUGACCUUGAUGGAAAAAUAGGUCAAGAGAUUGUCUCCAUGCUAUCCAGCCAAUAUGAAAUACCACAACAUACAUUGAUAUAUCUCGUAGUUAAUUUGGUUGAUAACAAUGCUUGUGCGGUGUAAGUCGGUCGAUUAGCAAUUACCAUAUAGAAGUGCCAGGAUUUUAGAAACACCUGGCCUCUACAAGUUCACGACUUAUAAAAGGAGUAAGCUGAGUAUUGGCCUGAUGAGAAUCUAGGAUCGAUUGGUCUAAAGAUGGAGACAAGGAGGAGGGGUGAAUCUAGGAUCGAUUAGUCAGACCGAGCAUGAUGCUACUGAUGUUUCGAUGAAUGCCAAGUUGAUUCUUGAUUCCAUGAUGAAUUUUAGCCACCUUGAUCAAUGGAUGUAUGCGAGAAGAAAUCAUGCUAGUGGAGUCAUAUAGACACAAACUUCUGCACUAGAGAUUGGGUGUGCCCAAUGGUAACGUGUAGAGGGGCAAUAGCUUAAUCAGUCCAUGAUGUAGACUUCCCCAAUUCCAAGCACUGAGGGGCAUCAACUCCAAAGGAUACUACCACUUCUUCGUUAGUAGCUAUGCAUACUAAAUACAUAUGUCAAGGGACAACCUCAAACCAAUAUUGGCUAGAAUUCAUCCUAUUGAGGGAAAUUUGAGUGCUAUAAACAUUUUCUAUUUAGUCAUCUACAAAUAGAGAUUCUUAUGAAGAGGACAACAAAUGGAAACAUUCAAAACAAAUCUAUAGAAGGCUUAUUUAUAGAGCUUAUUUAGUGAAUACUAAAAGCUCUUGGACAACACAUGGGUCAUGUAACCAGUCCGAUCGCCUAUGAAAGCAAAGUGUGUGGCACCUACCUAGAGAAUUGAAAAAGUAUAUUGAAUGUGCCUUAAAUAGGGUGAUAAUGAAGUCUCCAUAGAUAUAAGAAGCCUAUCAAUCGAAACAAUAUCAUAGUUGCAGGAAUGUUUAUUGAUUCAGAUAUGACCGAUUGAUUACCAAGGUUGUGCCCAUCAACCUUCUAACCAUUAGCUGAUGAAAUGUGGGGAGUAUUGUUUACACCACAUUUUAAACUACAAUAUAAAUUCAAAAGGCCGACUAGAUGGGGGCCCUGUGGAUAGGCCGAAUUAGCUAAAGGAAAUAAUUGGAAACUCAAUUAAACUACCAUGCGAAGCUUAAUAGGCCAUGCAACAUCUAAAGAGCAUCAGUCGAAUGAAAUUGAGGAAUCGCCUGAAAUGCAGAUUAAGCUUUCAAAAAUUCAAAGUAUACACGGAGUAAAAGUGGCCUAUUCAAAAAAGGCUAAGUCAAAAAUUGAGACCAAUCAAGUUUUGUGUCUUCUGUAAAUUGAGACCAAUCAGGUUUUGCAUCUUCUGUAGUUUAAGCCAUCAGCCUAGCAAAAAGGCUAUGAUAUAAAUAUAGAAUGUGGAUAGUUACAAAGGAAAUAAGAUGUGGAAAGUGGAACAAACAAUCGAAACUAACUAUUGAAACCACCAAGAGAAGUAGAGGAUAGGUAGUGAUAGGUGUCAACAUAGAAAGCAAAUGAUUGUCUCAGAAAACAAGUCUUUCGUCAAUCAGAAGCAAUUAGUUCCUUUACUUUAUCUUCCAAUUAUUUUCAUUUAUCCCAAUUUUGAGUUAUUCUUAGUCCAUAGAUUAUAGCAUAGUUGCAUAGCCACCACUUCUUUUUCUCAAAAGGUGACAUCUUAAGAAUGAAAGUCCUUGAAGGUCAAGGCAGUAUGGCCCAUUAUCAUUCUCAUCUCUUUCUAAUCAGACACUAUGGUGCACUCAUGCAGACAACCGACCUCCUUGUAGGCUUAGAUCCCCUCUCCAUCCUAUCUUUGGAGAUGAAGGUGCGAACAUCUACAUACAAAAAGAUGCAAAAAUUUCAGAGAGAGAAUAUUCCAUGGUUUUAGAUAAAAAUAUUUAUUUUUUUCCCAAUUAUCUUCCAAGAUUUCUAUAUGCCAGGUGAACCCUCACUAUUUUUAUCAGAAAAUGCUUCAUCUCACCCAAAAAUAAUGUUUAGGACCACCAACACAAAUUUGAGCCAGAUCCUACCCAAAUAUGUUUGUUGGGAGAGGAAGGAUUGGAGUUCGAUCCAAAUUUUUUGAGAUGUCCUACGAAACUAAGGAGCAUGACCAUUGACACAGGCCCUAUGCUGAUCUAAUACAAGUUAAAAAAAUAAAGGUUAGUACAAUAUUUUGGCACCAACACUCCAAAUAUAUAUAGGUAUAGCAUGGCUGACUGAAUCUUGGUUAUAUUUGAUUGUAUGAUAUAGGAGGAUAUUAGAGGAUUGAACUUUAUGAACGCAAUACAUCUUAGCUUAGGUUGAUCCGAUUGGGAGGAGAAAGAUAUUUUCUCUAAUAAUAAAAUCUAUACCUAUACUAAUAUAAGAGUACAUAUAAUUUUUGUUCAUGAGCAUUAACAGCUCUUCAGUCUCCCUAAAUAAAUCUUGGUCAUCAAUACAACAACCCAGGCCAUAUAUAUGCUUUCCUAGCUCAAUAGAGAUUCUUAAGGACUUCUGUUUUAGACCUAAAAUCCUACCCUCAUGGGUCAUAGUGACAUUCUCAAACAUUUCUUAAUUGCCCCAUGCACCUCCCCAUCAUCCCCUCGUCUCGCACGCUUAUCAAUGUGACCGAAAGCGAGAAGACAGGCCAUAGGAGGUUAAUUGGCAUUCAAGAUCGAUGUAACUCCGGACUAGACCUCUCCAUGAGGGUCCGCCCGCUUAAGCUUGAAGCUUUUUGGAUGGGCUUGGACUAAAAGUUUUAUAUUUAGUAGGUUGGGCUUAGAAAGUAAGCCUUAUUAAACGGGCUGGACUUGAGCUCGGGUAUUAAAGCCCAACACAAGCCCGGCCUGAUCCGAAAUUAAAAAGAUCCAGAUUUUUAUGAUUAAAUACCAGGUUUUAUUGAUACGUUAAUUUAAUAGGAAAAGAUCUAGAGAGGAUUAAAAUUGAUGAUGGAAAUAUUUAGUUAUUCAUUUUAGACAUUUUAAAGUACUUUUAAGUAUUUUUUUAGUAUUGCCCCGUAAUUAAGAAAAAGCCUUUGGCUAGAAGCCCAAACAAAGGCUGAGAUGAGCUUGGACCGGAAAGUAGGCUCGAAGAUUGGACCGGACUAAACCUGAGCUUAAGUAAAUUGUGUUAACCAUUGCGCAAAAUCUUAUCUGCCUCAACCUAUGAAUAGACUUACUCGGAACCUUAAUAAUUAAGAGACGAGGAGCCAAGUGUUGUAUCUAAUAAUCUUUCUCUAAAGAUCGAUGUGAAGCUCAUCAAAUUAGAAAAGAUCAGAAUUCCUCUUCUGUUUAUGAGUCAUAUGAGAUCAAAUGCAUCAUAUGCAUCCAGCCUCCGUUUGAGAGAAAUUUACGGUUAUAUCUUAUUAUUUUGAGAUUUUUUAUUUAUCAUCAUAUCGUAUACUUGACAUUGCGAUGCACAUGCAUCAUGAACUGCUAUGCAAAUACUGAAGUCAGCACUAUAAGAAGUCUUUGCGUGACUUAGUUUGCAGUAGGUUCUUUGUUUAUGACUUUGAUUUUCUACUAGUUCAAUCUAAUUUUGCUAGCUCUUUCACUCCAAGCAGCCAUAACUUCCUCGCCUUUCUUCCUCCAACUUUUCCAACAUCCAAUCUCCCCAUCAAUUAGAGCCUAAUUUCGGUCAAAAAGAAUUCGUUAUCAACAAAGAACAAGUUACGACAGCAUGAUUAAAAGGAACAAGUCAAUUAGACAAAGAAACAUUGACAUGUGAAGAACCUUUGCAACUGAGAAUGGCAAUUUAUGAUCCGAUCUAUCAAUCCAAUCUAUGAACGAUCCACUUUAAACAAGUUUGAGUUUGACAUAACUAGGUUACGAUCAUAAUGGGUCAACCCGUCUAAACUUGUUUAUUAAAUGAGUUGGUUCAAAUUUUAACAUUUGACAUGUUUAACCCAUUUUGAUUUGUUUAAUAAUUAGGUCAGAUUAUAAUGUGAUCCGUUUAAUUCUAUUUAAAUCUAUUUAAUCCGUUAAAAAUUUAUCUAACCCGUUUAACCUAUUUAAUAAAUGAGUUACAUGAGCCAAAUCAGGUUAUAUAUUUAAUAAAAAGAACAUAUUUGGAUUUGAAAGUUUGACCCAUUUAAUAAACACGUCAGACUUGGGUUGAUAAAUUUUUGACUCUAUGCACAUUCAAUCCGAUCCGACUCGAUUGCGCCCUCCAUUCGCAACCCUCAAAAUCUCCAAAUGCCAAAAUAGCCUUCUACGGUUCGUUCCGUCCCACAAAACGGAACCCCGGAAGUCCACAGGAAAGGAAGCAAGAAAGCGGAGCCCCCCACGCCUCCCCUAUCCCACUCCCUUCCAAACCCCGUCCGGCCACUAAAAUCCCCAAUCCAAAAAUAUAUCGGAACUCCCUCAAACAC
rnacentral:lncRNA from 1 species